GUGCUCGCUUUGGCAGUGCAUAUGCUAAAAUUGGAACAAUACAGAGAAGAUUGGUAUGGCCCCUGUGCAAGGAUGAUGCGCAAAUUCGUGAAGUGUUCCGUAUUUUU
rnacentral:snRNA from 1 species